rnacentral:rRNA from 1 species
UACGUAGGGGGCUAGCGUUGUCCGGAAUCAUUGGGCGUAAAGCGCGCGUAGGCGGUCCGGUAAGUCCGCUGUGAAAGUCGGGGGCUCAACCCUCGAAUGCCGGUGGAUACUGUCGGGCUUGAGUACGGAAGAGGCGAGUGGAAUUCCUGGUGUAGCGGUGAAAUGCGCAGAUAUCAGGAGGAACACCCGUGGCGAAGGCGGCUCUCUGGGUCGGACCUGACGCUGAGGCGCGAAAGCGUGGGGAGCGAACGGG